rnacentral:rRNA from 1 species
UACGUAGGGUGCAAGCAUUGUCCGGAAUUAUUGGGCGUAAAGAGCUCGUAGGCGGUUUGUCGCGUCUGCUGUGAAAACGCGAGGCUCAACCUCGCGCCUGCAGUGGGUACGGGCAGACUAGAGUGCGGUAGGGGAGAUUGGAAUUCCUGGUGUAGCGGUGGAAUGCGCAGAUAUCAGGAGGAACACCGAUGGCGAAGGCAGAUCUCUGGGCCGUGAACUGACGCUGAGGAGCGAAAGCGUGGGGAGCGAACAGG